rnacentral:snoRNA from 1 species
UAGUUAAUGCUUUUAAGGAUCAUUUCUUAAGUAUGUGUCACAAUGGUAUCUGGUUCCUUUGAUCGGUCAACAACAUCACGAUGAUGCAAGAUCAUAUUGAAUCCUGAGCAUGAAGCAGGAUCUCCUGCAUCAUUCAUUAUUCUGCCUUCAACGAAUGUGAGGAAUCCAUUGAAGAUCGUUCUUGAGAGGUUUAAUAGCUUCGUAAAGAGGGACUCAAUACUUUCUGAGUGAU